rnacentral:rRNA from 1 species
AAAAAAUUAAUUUAAAUUACUAAAAUAGUAUGUAAUUAUUUAUUGAAACUUAAAUAAUUUGGCGGUAUUUUAGUUCAUUUAGAGGAAUCUGUCUAGUAAUUGAUAUUCCACGAAUAAUCAUAUUUAAUUUAAAAUUUUAUAUAUCGUUGUUAAAAAAAUAUUUUUAAAUAAAAAUAAUAUUUUAAAAUUUUAAUUUAAAAUUAAUUCAGAUCAAGAUGUAGAUUAUAAUUAAAUUUAAGAUGGAUUACAAUAUAUUUAUAUAAACGGAUAUUAAUUUUGAAAUAUUUAUUUGAAGGUGGAUUUAAAUGUAAUUUUAAAUAGUUUUUUAAAAUGAUUUAUAAUUGAAAUAUGUACAUAUUGCCCGUCACUUUCAUUUAAAAAUUGAAAUAAGUCGUAACAAAGUAGGGGUACUGGAAAGUGUUCCUAGAAAGA